rnacentral:rRNA from 2 species
CCACGGUGAAUACGUUCCCGGGCCUUGUACACACCGCCCGUCACACCAUGGGAGUGGGUUGCAAAAGAAGUAGGUAGCUUAACCUUCGGGAGGGCGCUUACCACUUUGUGAUUCAUGACUGGGGUGAAGUCGUAACAAGGUAACCGUAGGGGAACCUGCGGUUGGAUCACCUCCUUACCUUAAAGAA